rnacentral:tRNA from 1 species
CGCGGGAUAGAGCAGUCGGUAGCUCGUUGGGCUCAUAACCCAAAGGUCGCAGGUUCGAGUCCUGCUCCCGCUACAA